UACGGAGGGUGCAAACGUUGCUCGGAAUCAUUGGGCGUAAAGCGCACGUAGGCGGUCUGUUAAGUCGGAUGUGAAAGCCCAGGGCUCAACCCUGGAAGUGCAUACGAAACUGGCAGGCUUGAAUAUGGAAGAGGGUCGCGGAAUUCCCGGUGUAGAGGUGAAAUUCGUAGAUAUCGGGAGGAACACCAGUGGCGAAGGCGGCGACCUGGGCCAAUAUUGACGCUGAGGUGCGAAAGCGUGGGGAGCAAACAGG
rnacentral:rRNA from 1 species